rnacentral:rRNA from 1 species
CAAUGGCGGGGUGCUUACCAUGCAGUCGAACGGUAAGGCCCCUUCGGGGGUACACGAGUGGCGAACGGGUGAGUAACACGUGAGCAACCUGCCCUUGACUCUGGAAUAACAGUUGGAAACAGCUGCUAAUACCGGAUAUGACUUCGCACCUCAUGGUGUGGGGUGGAAAGCUUUGGCGGUCAGGGAUGGGCUCGCGGCCUAUCAGCUUGUUGGUGAGGUAAUGGCUCACCAAGGCUUCGACGGGUAGCCGGCCUGAGAGGGCGACCGGCCACACUGGGACUGAGAUACGGCCCAGACUCCUACGGGAGGCAGCAGUGGGGAAUAUUGCACAAUGGGCGAAAGCCUGACGCAGCAACGCCGCGUGCGGGAUGACGGCCUUCGGGUUGUAAACCGCUUUCAGUAGGGACGAAGCGAGAGUGACGGUACCUACAGAAGAAGGACCGGCUAACUACGUGCCAGCAGCCGCGGUGAUACGUAGGGUCCAAGCGUUGUCCGGAAUUAUUGGGCGUAAAGGGCUUGUAGGCGGUUCGUCACGUCAGAAGUGAAAACUCAGGGCUUAACCCUGAGCCUGCUUUUGAUACGGGCGAACUAGAGGGAUGCAGGGGAGAACGGAAUUCCUGGUGGAGCGGUGGAAUGCGCAGAUAUCAGGAGGAACACCGGUGGCGAAGGCGGUUCUCUGGGCAUUACCUGACGCUGAGAAGCGAAAGCGUGGGGAGCAAACAGGCUUAGAUACCCUGGUAGUCCACGCCGUAAACGGUGGGUGCUAGGUGUGAGCGGUAUUCCACGCCGUUCGUGCCGCAGCUAACGCAUUAAGCACCCCGCCUGGGAGUACGGCCGCAAGGCUAAAACUCAAAGGAAUUGACGG